rnacentral:rRNA from 1 species
UACGUAGGGGGCAAGCGUUGUCCGGAUUUAUUGGGCGUAAAGAGCUUGUAGGCGGUCUGUCGCGUCUGCUGUGAAAAUCCGGGGCUCAACCCCGGACUUGCAGUGGGUACGGGCAGACUAGAGUGUGGUAGGGGAGACUGGAAUUCCUGGUGUAGCGGUGAAAUGCGCAGAUAUCAGGAGGAACACCGAUGGCGAAGGCAGGUCUCUGGGCCACUACUGACGCUGAGGAGCGAAAGCGUGGGUAGCAAACAGG